rnacentral:rRNA from 1 species
CCUACGGGCGGCAGCAGUGGGGAAUAUUGGACAAUGGGGGCAACCCUGAUCCAGCCAUGCCGCGUGUGUGAAGAAGGCCCUCGGGUUGUAAAGCACUUUCAGUGAGGAAGAACGCCUGGUGGUUAAUACCCAUCAGGAAAGACAUCACUCACAGAAGAAGCACCGGCUAACUCCGUGCCAGCAGCCGCGGUAAUACGGAGGGUGCGAGCGUUAAUCGGAAUUACUGGGCGUAAAGCGCGCGUAGGUGGCUUGAUAAGCCGGUUGUGAAAGCCCCGGGCUCAACCUGGGAACGGCAUCCGGAACCGUCAAGCUAGAGUGCAGGAGAGGAAGGUAGAAUUCCCGGUGUAGCGGUGAAAUGCGUAGAGAUCGGGAGGAAUACCAGUGGCGAAGGCGGCCUUCUGGACUGACACUGACACUGAGGUGCGAAAGCGUGGGUAGCAAACAGGAUUAGAUACCCGAGUAGUC